rnacentral:tRNA from 1 species
GUCUUCGUGGCUCAGUUGGUUAGAGCGUUGGUCUCAUAUUACAUGACUCAAUCCUAGAUUGGGACAUCCAAAGGUCGUGAGUUCGAACCUCACCGAGGACA